UAAUAACAAUGGAGUCAGAAAGUUGAGAAAAGGGGAGGCGGAAACCGUUGCAGCGUCCGAGGACACAAACUUCGAAUUAUGAACGUUUUAAAAUUUUGAAAAAGGACAAGGCACUUGUGGACUAGUGGCAUUCAGAUUCUUUGGUUGAGAAAUUGUUCUAGAGGCUCAUACAUGAUUUCACCUCUAGAAUUUGAUAGCAGAUCUUGAUCCAAGGGUGAACACUCCAUCUCUAGGCUGCCAUGGGUCAUCCUAAUUGUUGUUGUCCAUCUUUCGAGCAAUGAAACAUUCUUUAUUUACUUUAUUUUUGGAUAUCUCUUUAGACAUGAUCUAUGUUUUAGUUCUUGUACGAUGACUUUUGUGUCUUGGGAAUUUUAGUAAGUAAAUUGUUUGAUUUUCGCAUUA